UCCCAGUCCCUACUGUCUCCCUCUGCUUAGAGUUAAACAACCAGGUGGAUAAUGACCCAUCCCAGUCCCUACUGUCUCCAUCUGCUUAGAGUUAAACAACCAGGUGGAUAAUGACCCAUCCCAGUCCCUACUGUCUCCAUCUGCUUAGACAACCAGGUGGAUAAUGACCCAUCCCAGUCCCUACUGUCUCCAUCUGCUUAGACAACCAGGUGGAUAAUGACCCAUCCCAGUCCCUACUGUCUCCAUCUGCUUAGAGUUAAACAACCAGGUGGAUAAUGACCCAUCCCAGUCCCUACUGUCUCCAUCUGCUUAGACAACCAGGUGGAUAAUGACCCAUCCCAGUCCCUACUGUCUCCAUCUGCUUAGACAACCAGGUGGAUAAUGACCCAUCCCAGUCCCUACUGUCUCCAUCUGCUUAGACAACCAGGUGGAUAAUGACCCAUCCCAGUCCCUACUGUCUCCAUCUGCUUAGACAACCAGGUGGAUAAUGACCCAUCCCAGUCCCUACUGUCUCCAUCUGCUUAGACAACCAGGUGGAUAAUGACCCAUCCCAGUCCCUACUGUCUCCAUCUGCUUAGACAACCAGGUGGAUAAUGACCCAUCCCAGUCCCUACUGUCUCCAUCUGCUUAGACAACCAGGUGGAUAAUGACCCAUCCCAGUCCCUACUGUCUCCAUCUGCUUAGACAACCAGGUGGGACACCACUACAGACCACUCUGCUAUGAGAACAACAUUAAGCAUUUAGCUAGAACCAAAGAGUAUCUAUUAUAUUGACUAUAACCUCGUCCCCCAGGGCUAACUGCGCAUGGGCGGAAGUGUCUGUGAACGAGACUAGCACCAAUAUAAAAAGGCCCAAGUGGUUGACAUCUUUGCAGACAACCCCAGUUUGACUUUUAACAGGUUAUCGUCAAAUCAUGUGUCAACCCUCUAACAACAACCUUCCGUGGUGGAAAAAGUCCCCAAUUGUCAUACCCGAGUAACAGUAAAGAUACCCUAAUAGAACAUGUCUCCAUUAAAAGUCACCCAGUAACAUACUACUUGAGUAAAA